UUUAUUUUUCACGCCCUAAUUUGCCCUCUGUUUCUUGGGUCUGUCUCUCUUUAUCUCCUUCAUUGCUUGCUUCGCCUUCGGCCAGUAGCCCUAAUUUCUUGUCGAGCAUGCCAUAGAGAAAGGCAAGAAGAGAGCUGCUUCUGUUUUUCUUUCUUUGUUUUCUGUAACAGACCCAGAAGUUUUAACCCAGAAGCCCCAAAUUCUUCUCCUUUCUUUCUUUGUUUUCUGUAACA
rnacentral:lncRNA from 1 species